UACGAAGGGGGCUAGCGUUGCUCGGAAUUACUGGGCGUAAAGGGAGCGUAGGUGGACAGUUUAGUCAGAGGUGAAAGCCCAGGGCUCAACCUUGGAAUUGCCUUUGAUACUGGCUGUCUUGAGUACGGAAGAGGUAUGUGGAACUCCGAGUGUAGAGGUGAAAUUCGUAGAUAUUCGCAAGAACACCAGUGGCGAAGGCGGCUCACUGGUCCGGUACUGACGCUGAGGUGCGAAAGCGUGGGGAGCAAACAGG
rnacentral:rRNA from 1 species